rnacentral:lncRNA from 1 species
CCAGGCUCCAAGCACCUGAAGUUCUUCUGAGUCAGAGAAGCAACUGCAUUCAUUACAGCUAAUGAAGUUUGCAAAAGGAGGUCAGAGGAGGGCUGUGCCAACAACUGUCCCCAGAGCUCAACAUCAUUUCAUCAUGCUGGUCCUUACCCACAGCUGAGAUCUGCUCAUCCGGCCUCGGCAAAAGACAAUGCAUUUGAGUUCGUGGAGAACAUUCUUGCUAUUGUAUAUUCGGUACAUAUCUACAUGGAUGCGGCCAUCGUCCAAACUCUAGUGAUUCUCACUGCUGGUUUUAAAAUCACUUGGAAGAAGACAUUUAGAAAACAUCAAAGUAUCAUCUGCCAUCAAAAAAGGGUCUGUUACUGAGCUCAGCUUUGGAGAUGGUGUGAGAGAUACAACAAACAACCAUUUGCUGACACGGAGGGCACCAAAGUGGUUUUUGAUGAUAUGAGAUGAUGAAACUGAGGACGAGAAAAGGCAAGGACACAGGGCCAGAGAAGCAGUGGAAGUGGCAGGAGCAGAUCAUGGCUUCUUCCUAACUACCUGAUUAUCUUUGCACCGAAGCACAUUAUAUCUGGCCAAAUCAACGUUUUGCAAAACAGAGCUGAUAGUGUCCCUGUAUGAAUAUAUAUGCACAUAUCUCUCAAUGUAACUCACUUAUAUAUUCAUGUGUCUUCAUUUCCCAUUCAUCUUUAUAAUCAAUCACCUAUGAUCGGUUCCCGUUAC